rnacentral:rRNA from 1 species
AAAACUUUUCAGCUAGAGUUUGAUAGAGGAAAGCAGAAUUUCUAGUGUAGAGGUGAAAUUCGUAGAUAUUAGAAAGAAUACCAAUUGCGAAGGCAGCUUUCUGGAUCAUUACUGACACUGAGGAACGAAAGCAUGGGUAGCGAAGAGGAUUAGAUACUCUCGUAGUCCAUGCCGUAAACGAUGUGUGUUAGACGUUGGAAAUUUAUUUUCAGUGUCGCAGCGAAAGCGAUAAACACACCGCCUGGGGAGUACGACCGCAAGGUUAAAACUCAAAUGAAUUGACGGGGACCCGCACAAGUAGUGGAGCAUGUGGUUUAAUUCGAAGAUACGCGCAGAACCUUACCAACACUUGACAUGUUCGUCGCGACUUUAAGAGAUUAGAGUUUUCGGUUCGGCCGGACGAAACACAGGUGCUGCAUGGCUGUCGUCAGCUCGUGUCGUGAGAUGUUGGGUUAAGUCCCGCAACGAGCGCAACCCUCACUUUUAGUUGCCAUCAUUUAGUUGGGCACUCUGAAAGAACUGCCAGUGAUAAGCUGGAGGAAGGUGGGGAUGACGUCAAGUCCUCAUGGCCCUUACGUGUUGGGCUACACACGUGCUACAAUGGUAUCUACAACAGGAAGCAAGACUGCGAAGUUUAGCAAAUCCUUAAAAGAUACCUCAGUUCGGAUUGCACUCUGCAACUCGAGUGCAUGAAGCUGGAAUUACUAGUAAUCGUGGAUCAGCGUGCCACGGUGAAUGCGUUCCCGGGUCUUGUACACACCGCCCGUCACACCAUGGGAGUUGGUUCUACCUUAAGGCAAGGCUUUAAACCCUUGACCACGGUAUAGUCAGCGACUGGGGUAAAGUCGUAACAAGGUAACCGUA